GAUUCCUGGUACUGGAAAAAACAAACAAACAAACAACAAACAAACAAACAAAACAAAUUUAAAAAAAGAGAUAGGGGCCCUGGAUUCAAGUUCCACUAAAUGUGAGGCAGAAGCAAGAAGACCCAAAUGCGCUUCUGGCAGCUUGCAGAGUCCCGCGGAUUUGGAGUUGCUCCUUGGCAACCCACUCCCUCGCGCGCCCAAACUCCUGCAAGCCCAAGUGACCCCUCUCGUCUCGCCCAUCCACGUGAGUGUCCUGGCGCGCGGGGCUUCAGUUAUCCGCGGAUCAAACCACUGUGAGGGUCAGCACGAGGGGAGGGGCGCUGUGGGUAUGGACUUCAUAAAGGAAGAAAGCUAUCCAGCUAUGUUUUUGUAUUGGGGUGAGAAGUAGUCUUUGUACUCGCAUCGGCCAUCCAAUUCCUUCUGUAGUUUGGGAUUGUCCGUUCUUGUGUCGGGUCAGUAGAGGAGUCUAAAACCCAGACUCGUAAAGGGGGGAUUUAUGAGUAAGCUAAACAGGUUAUCUAGCUAUAGACGAAGAUAGCCCAAGGAGAAAUUUGUUGGAACUUGCAAUUUUCCAUGGUAUAGCUUUUUAAGUUGCAUCAUAUUUUCAUGCAGUUCCGCAUUUUGAAAUGAACUCUGGAACCUGCUGGGUCUUCCAAUAGUCGGGUCCUCCCCAAAUUGCCAGAAGGGAGUAGGAAAGCAGCCAGUGUCAUUUUGGACGUAACCAUCCGCUGCCAUACAUGGGGUACUCAAAGUUCCCCGUGAGUUUAGUGGCUUCCCAGAGCAAGUUUACUGAUAGGAACGGAGCACUCUUUUCUCACGAAAACCCCGUUGGGGUUAGUGGCAGACACUCUCCUUUGCAUCGGAGUUCCUCCGGGCGUUACGGGGGAAUUGGGGUUUGGGUUCUCCCCCACGAUCCAGUUGGUAUGGCCCCCAGGCACAGGCCCAGAGCCCAGCGCGGGCCGGCGCUGUGCGCCCUGGGAGCCCGUGGCGCGCGGCGGAAACGGUAGACGACUGUCGCGGGUGCGGCGCCUGAGGUGGCUGAGGAGCGGGCAGAGCCCGCGCGGCAGCAGCGGCCCAGGCGGAUCCCGAGGUGAGGGCGGAGCUGGCGCGGAAGGCAGACCCCGGCCUGGCCGUGUGGUCCUCGCUGCGGCCCACCGAGGAGCCACCGCGGAAGCGGGCCGGCCGUAGUGCGCCGUGGAGGCGGCCGGGCCCGAGGGCAGCGCGACAGAGAACGGCGAGAUGGACGAGCCCUACUUCAGCCACCGCAAAGGUUUCGCGGAUGGCGCGAGAGAGGAAGAGUUGUUUGGCAGUGCACGAAAAGAUUGGCCUCCUGAAGCAGAUGGAAUUGAUUCGGUGAUUAUAGUAGACAGUGUUCCUCAGUUGGGACGUGACUGACUUGAUGUCAUCUGCAAGAUCUUCUACAAAUCUGGUAAAAUCAGAAAUGACUAUUUUCCUGAAGAGAAUGGAAAGACAAAACGGGAGGACAUCACACAGCGUGCCCAGUUCCACUCCCUGCACUUCCACUUUGUCCUCUGCGUGUGCUGGGACACUAGGGUGUCCCCCGGGGAUUUGAAGAGGGGAUCCAGUCUUCAAGAGAGUCCUGGCUAGAACAUGAACCUGAAGGCUUCUGACAAGGACAAGGAGCCGAGGGGCAUCAUCCCACUGGAGAACCUCAGCAUCAGAGAGGAGGAGGGCCCAUGGAAAGCCAACUGCUUUGAGCUUUACAAUCCCAGCCACAAAGAGCAGGUCAUCAAAGCCUGCAAGACAGAGGCUGACGGCCCGUGUAUUGCUUCUCUGCACAGAGCCGUGAAGAGAAGGAUGAGUGGGUGAAAUCCAUCAACAAGCAUCAGCAGGGAUCCUUCCUAUGACAUGUUGGCAACGAGGAAAAGGAGGAUUGCCAAUAAGAAAUAGAGCUGCCCUGGCCCUGCAGGCUACAUGGUUCAACACCUGCUUUACCUCCCAAGUGAGCAGCAGGAAGCAGGAGUCCCUGCCUCCCAGGACCACAGAAUAGGAGUGAUUCAGACACAGGCUCGACACCGUGAAGAUUCUGCUCUAAGUCACCUGGACCUAAUCCCAACAGAGUGGCUAUGUCAGGUACCACAUGGAGCUGAGAAGGACCAAUUCCCUUCGGCAAAUCGCUGAAAUGUUAAUGUGAAGCUAGAGCAAAUGCCACAUUCCCUCCAGUCCUGGCAGCAGGUGUCUGCCUGUACCCCUGUGGUGGUCUCAUCGUUUCUCAGGCCUGCUUCUCUUCACACCCAUGACAACUGCACCAAAACCAGGGGCCACAGGAGCCACGGGCCUGCCCUGCCUGGGCAUCCCCAAGGUAACACAUUUCUCCUCAGUGUCUAGGGCAGAGCCUAGCAAACUUCCUUUUCUGUGAAAGUCCACGUGUCAAACACUUAAGAGUGUGGCGGGCUGUGCAUCUCGUCUGCGACUGCUCACCCCGUCAAGAGUGACAGCAGCUUGCAGAUCACGGGCUGUGCUUCAGCCAAAGUCUACAGACACUGACAUCUGAAUUUCACACAUUCUUCAGGUGAAACACAGUACUACUCCUCUUUGGGAGUUUUGAAAACAUGAAAGCCAUUCUUACCUCACGGGUGAUGUGAGACAGGUGCAGGGCCAGCUUUGGCCUUCGAGAAACAGCUUGCCAACCUGUGCCCCAGGCCCCGAAUCCUAUCGCUUUCAUUCUUAACAAGCUUCUGAAGGAUCCUCGGCAGGGAACCAGUUAGAAAGGGGGAGGGGCUGUCCAAGAGCAAUCAGAGCACAAACAGCCGCUAAAUUAUGAGAAGACACAGUCUACACACAAGAAUCCAAGAUGCCCAGUAGCCUGGAGUGAGACAGCAAUGCCAGGAGCCUCAAAGGCAUCACUGGUAGAGGUGGCCCCUAACAUUUGUAACUGCCCAUGUCAUCACAUUAUGAGUUAGGAUACACUGUGUGUGCUUUAAGGAAUCAGCAGAGUAAAGCGAAUAGUGCAAAAGCAUUGCUACCAAAAAUGCUUGGAAAACAGAGAAAUUCUCCCUUGUAAGCAAAUACUCAGACACCCGGAGCACCAUAAAUUCCAGGUCCACGUAACCAUCCUUCAGUGCUAACGGAGCAGCAUCAAGUACCCACACUACACAGGGAAAACGAUUCACACAGAGUUUGGGAGUCAACAGGGGUGAGGCCAGAGCCCUGUGUUACCCCAGUGCCCUUUCAAGGCACUUGAGGUUCCAUCUCCAUGUGUGAGUCACCGUUUCCAAAAAAACUUAUCAAGAGUUUUUCUCUUCUCAGUUCCAAGAAUCUCCUCUUACCCUGGGCAUACUCCAACAUGUGGCACCUGUCGGCCCUGCUCUCCAUCCUUAAAUGCUUGGUUUUCUUUUGGAAAAGGCUGUUGAUGUCCACAGCCAGGCCAUUGGCGAGCAGGAAGCUGCCCUCGGGUCUCUGGAAAUGGUGGACAGUCUCACAUCUCAAGGCCUUCAAGGUCAGUGUCAGAGUACACUACCAGAACACGUGGAUCCAGCCGAUACCUGCAGAAGCAGCGGCCAGAAAUUAGCAACCCAAACACCAGCACCACCUCAGACAGGACCUGGCACUGUCGUGACCACUUACUGAGGACGCUCAAUGUACAGGCACAGAGGGAAACUGUGGGCCAGUAAGCCCGGAUGCGGCCUGCUUGUUGGUGACACCCUGAUGACUGGUGACCAGGCGGGGAGAGGACUGACCGGGAUGACGAGUGGAAUGAGGGUUCUUAAAACAGACUCCCGUGACUGCCUGUGCAAAUGCGCUAUUGAAUAAUGUAAAUGAAGUUUCCAGCAGCCUCUGUCCCCCCAUGGGUACCCAGUGUAAGAAAGAUCCUCAACUCUGCUGGGAGAGAAGGUGACCCCACCCUCCCUCCAGUCUCCUCUGAGAGGGGAGUCAAGGAAGAUGCUGCCAUGUUGAAGGAGCAUCAUCUUGAAGAAGCUGUGGCAGCACUGCGGCAUCGGGUGGCAGCACUAGUUCUCCAAGGGUGCAGAGCUGCCCAUCUUGAGAGAGUGCAGACACCGGACCUUCAUGUUCCGGCCUCUGUGGGACACACAGCCUGGGUCUCCCAGAGGGCACCAGGAGCUAAGGCAACCUAGCGAGCCAUUCAAACACAGCACGCCCUUUACAGUCAAGGCUCCCUGUCAUCCCAAGUGAAGCAGCCAUGUCAGGGACUGCAAGUCACCCCCCAUCAUACUU